AUUGAACGCUGGCGGCAUGCCUUACACAUGCAAGUCGAACGGCAGCACGGGAGCAAUCCUGGUGGCGAGUGGCGAACGGGUGAGUAAAGUAUCGGAACGUGCCCAGUCGUGGGGGAUAACGUAGCGAAAGUUACGCUAAUACCGCAUACGAUCUAUGGAUGAAAGCGGGGGAUCGCAAGACCACGCGCGAUUGGAGCGGCCGAUAUCAGAUUAGGUAGUUGGUGGGGUAAAGGACCACCAAGCUGACGAUCUGUAGCUGGUCUGAGAGGACGACGAGCCCCACUGGGACUGUGACACGGCCCAGACUCAUACGGGAGGCAGCAGUGGGGAAUUUUUGACAAUGGGCGAAAGCCUGAUCCAGCCAUGCCGCGUGCAGGAUGAAGGCCUUCGGGUUGUAAACUGCUUUUGUACGGAACGAAAAGGUUUGGGCUAAUAAGCUGAGCUCAUGACGGUACCGUAAGAAUAAGCACCGGCUAACUACGUGCCAGCCGCCGCAGUAA
rnacentral:rRNA from 1 species